rfam:Clostridium puniceum strain DSM 2619 CLPTN_contig000218, whole genome shotgun sequence.
CAACUUAUAUAGUGAUAUAUAACUGAAUUUAUCAGAAGUCAGCAGAAGUCAUAGUAACUUCGCUAAACGCGAUAGCGGACGAAGGAC